AAGAAAAGGGUCUAGACCCCACACACGCCACUCGGUAAGGAAUUGGGCCUAUAGCUCAGCUGGCUAGAGCACACGACUGAUAAUCGUGAGGUCAGUGGUUCGAGUCCACUUGGGCCCACCAAAUGGGGCUGUAGCUCAGUUGGGAGAGCACCUGCUUUGCAAGCAGGGGGUCACCGGUUCGAGACCGGUCAGCUCCACCACAGGGAUGGAAGGCCCGCAAAGAGCGCGGGCUGGUCGCUGGGGAAGCGGUAUGGAAGUGAUUUGGGAUUGGAUUUUUUAGUGUGUAGUGCUGAAUGACGCUUUAAGGAUGUAGGAAGUUAAAGUGCUAUUGAUCACUGCCCACUCGGAAGAUUUGAGUGCGUUAGUUUGUUCUUUGACAGUUGAGGAAGGGAAGGCCAUGUUUGCCAUCUUGCCGAUGGCGGACCUCCAGGUGGAUGCUUGGGGAUAUAU
rnacentral:tRNA from 1 species